rnacentral:ncRNA from 1 species
GCCUUGGCUAUGAAGGGAACAAGUAGAAAUGAAGAUGCCUUUAGAGAGUAGAAUCCAUUGGCUGAAAGAUUUUACAGGAUUUAUUCAUUUUGAACCCGUCCCAGAGCUUAUGACGGAAUGAAGAAGUCAUACGGUGGCGAAACCGUUAUCAUCGCAAAAAGAUAAUCUGUGGAUAUUAAUUUAAAAGCAUAAAUGGUCAUAGAUUAAUUAGAGUGGUACCGCGAAUCACCUUCGUCUCUAAA